rnacentral:rRNA from 1 species
ACUCCUACGGGAGGCAGCAGUGAGGAAUAUUGGUCAAUGGAGGGAACUCUGAACCAGCCAUCCCGCGUGUAGGAAGACGGCCUUAUGGGUUGUAAACUACUUUUAUACAGGAAGAAACGUACCCUCGUGAGGGUGCCUGACGGUACUGUAGGAAUAAGCACCGGCUAACUCCGUGCCAGCAGCCGCGGUAAUACGGAGGGUGCGAGCGUUAAUCGGAAUUACUGGGCGUAAAGCGCGCGUAGGCGGCUUGAUAAGCCGGUUGUGAAAGCCCCGGGCUCAACCUGGGAACGGCAUCCGGAACUGUCAGGCUAGAGUGCAGGAGAGGAAGGUAGAAUUCCCGGUGUAGCGGUGAAAUGCGUAGAGAUCGGGAGGAAUACCAGUGGCGAAGGCGGCCUUCUGGACUGACACUGACGCUGAGGUGCGAAAGCGUGGGUAGCAAACAGGAUUAGAUACCCUGGUAGGCUCUGC